rnacentral:lncRNA from 1 species
AGGUGCGCUUUGCUUCCUAACCCGUUGCCGGGUUGGAGAUUCCACCUCCGAAGUUUUCUUUCUGACUUUUGAUUUUACAUUCCUAGUACAGUGGAGAAGCCCAGGCGGCCUAGAAUCCAGUGUCGUCCGUGAGUGCUUGGCUGGUGUUCAAGUGCAUCUUCCAGCCUGAGACCGCGUGGACUCGCUCAUCGUGAGGGCGAGAGGAGGAUAAGCCCAUUGGGCUGUCGGCUGAGAGUGAGGUGCGGGACCAUCCACAAUAUUGUUUGAACAUCUGAAGACAUGGGGAACUUGCCAUCUGAUAUCUGAUAACAGACUUCCUGUAAAGCAGGACUGGUAGUUUCCUGAUAACAAAUUCUUCAAUAUGAAGCUCUGCUGUGCAGGUGGCUUCUCCAAGA